GCGAAAGCAUUUGCCAAGAAUGUUUUCAUUAAUCAAGAACGAAAGUCAGAGGUGCCAAGGCGAUCAGAUACCGCCGUAGUUCUGACCGUAAACGAUGCCAACUGGCAAUUGGGCGCACUUCUAUAGAAGUUGCUGCCAGCAGUAUUGCCCGGGAAACCAAAGUCAUUGGGUUCCGGGGGGAGUAUGGUUGCAAAGCUGAAACUUAAAGGAAUUGACGGGAGGGCACCACCAGGAGUGGAGCCUGCGGCUUAAUUUGACUCAACACGGGGAACCUCACCCGGCCCGAACACUGUUAUGACAGACAGGUUGAGAGCUCUUUCUCGAUUCAGUGGUUGGUGGUGCAUGGCCGUUCUUAGUUCGUGGAGCGAUCUGUCUGGUUAAUUCCGAUAACGAACGAGACUCUUGCGUGCGAAAUAGACGGCGCCGACCCCGUCGGCGACCGUUUGCUUCUUAGAGGGACAAGCGGCUUUUAGCCGCGUGAAGCCGAGAGCAAUAACAGGUCUGUGAUGCCCUCAGAUGUUCGGCACAGACAGCGCCGCCGCUACACUGUCCGCGGCAUCGUUCCCAUCUACCUGGCCAGGAUUGCCGGGAACUGCGCCCAAUCGCUCAGGUGCUUAGACUCAGAGAUUGCAAUUGUAACUCCGUCAACGAGGAAUUCCAUGUCCCCGCCGGUCCAUCAGCUCGCGGGGAAUCGGUUCCUGCCCUUAGAUCUCACCGCCCGUCGCUACAACAUAUUAAGUGGAUUUGGUAAGGUUCGAAGACGACCGGAAUCGGACGCUAGUCGCCCAACGCAGACAGGUUGCGAUACGAACUAUCACAUCUAGGAAGUAAUAGACGUAACAAGGUUUUCGAAUCUUGACAUGCGGAAGGAUACAAUCUCUAGAGGAUC
rnacentral:rRNA from 1 species